rnacentral:rRNA from 1 species
UACGUAGGGUGCGAGCGUUGUCCGGAAUUAUUGGGCGUAAAGAGCUUGUAGGCGGUUUGUCGCGUCUGCUGUGAAAAUCCGGGGCUCAACCCCGGACUUGCAGUGGGUACGGGCAGACUAGAGUGUGGUAGGGGAGACUGGAAUUCCUGGUGUAGCGGUGAAAUGCGCAGAUAUCAGGAGGAACACCGGUGGCGAAGGCGGAUCUCUGGGCCUUACCUGACGCUGAGGAGCGAAAGCGUGGGGAGCGAACAGG